rnacentral:lncRNA from 1 species
GCUCUCCUCCUUGUGGUCUGCGUCUCCGUGGGCUGGGCGAAGCCUCUCUGCUUCGGCGGCAUCUGCAUUCCUACCAGCGAAGCUGCUGGGGGUGCCUCGGGCGAGGUCACCAGUGGUACAAACAUUGGCCCUGGUGGUGUCACUAAGGUUUCGUCCGUCGGCGCCUCUGCAGGGGGAACGGCCAGAGGACCAUGUGCAUCCAGCUUCAAUACCGGAAAAGCCAAUAAGUUUAGCUCACAGACCAUCUUUGGCAAUACGGAUGAAGCCAACACGGAUGCCGUCUCAAUCCAAGAAACCGACUGCUGAAUGACUCAGCCACAGUCAUCUCGGCAUGCGCCGCAAUGGCACACAUGAAGCGCCUGUUACAUCCACGAACGUUGUGAUAUCGGCGUCGGUUGUGACAUGUGAUCGAAAUGUGCAAUACAGGCUUAUCCCCGACAUGACUGAUC